AUUGAACGCUGGCGGCAGGCUUAACACAUGCAAGUCGAGCGAGCGGCGGAAGGGUGAGUAAUGUCUGGGAAACUGCCUGAUGGCGGGGGAUAACUACUGGAAACGGUAUCUAAUACCGCAUACCAUCAGAUGUGCCCAGAUGGGAUUCGCUAGUAGGUGGGGUAAUGGCUCACCUAGGCGCCGAUCCCUAGCUGGUCUGAGAGGAUGACCGGCAAAACUGGAACUGAGACACGGCCCAGACUCCUACGGGAGGCAGCAGGGGGGAAUAGUGAAAAAUGGGCGCAAGCCGGAUGCAGCAAUGCCGCGUGUGUGAAGAAGGCCUUCGGGUUGUAAAGCACUUUCAGCGGGGAGGCGUUACUCGCAGAAGAAGCACCGGCUAACUCCGUGCCAGCAGCCGCGGUAAUUC
rnacentral:rRNA from 1 species